rnacentral:ribozyme from 1 species
GCUGGCGUGGGCGGAGGGGGCGGACAUCCUCGAGGGCAUCAACGUGCGGCUCGGGCCGGAGGGCGUCGGUCGGCCCGACUCUGCACACAAGUCGCUCACGCUGAGCAUGCAGUGGCGGG